UUUCCAGUCAGGGUCCUGGCUAAUAUCCAGCCUGUAGCUGGAAUUAGUCAAACCCUGACUGUAAA
rfam:Cricetulus griseus cell line CHO-K1, whole genome shotgun sequence.